GGUCCGAUGGUGUAGUUGGUAGCACAUUCGCUUGACGUGCGAAAGGUCCGGAGUUCAAAUCUCCGUCGGAUCA
rnacentral:tRNA from 1 species